GCCGACGUAGUUUAGCCUGGUUAGAGCGCCACGCUCAUACCGUGGAAGUCGGGGGCUCAAAUGGGCUUUUUGCGUGAGCAAUAGCUCUGGAAUUCCCUCCGUCGGCA
rnacentral:tRNA from 1 species